GAGGGCAGUGGCUCAAUUGGUAGAGCACCGGUCUCCAAAACCGGGGGUUGGGGGUUCGAGCCCCUCCGCUCCUGCCA
rnacentral:tRNA from 1 species